rnacentral:rRNA from 1 species
ACCAUGGAGCGUGUGAUCCUGGCUCAGGAUGAACGCUGGCGGU